UACGUAGGGUGCGAGCGUUAAUCGGAAUUACUGGGCGUAAAGCGUGCGCAGGCGGUUCGUUAAGUCAGAUGUGAAAGCCCCGGGCUCAACCUGGGAACUGCAUUUGAAACUGGCGGGCUUGAGUGUGGCAGAGGGGGGUGGAAUUCCGCGUGUAGCAGUGAAAUGCGUAGAGAUGCGGGGGAACACCGAUGGCGAAGGCAGCCCCCUGGGCCAACACUGACGCUCAGGCACGAAAGCGUGGGGAGCAAACAGG
rnacentral:rRNA from 1 species